rnacentral:rRNA from 1 species
AUUGAACGCUGGCGGCAGGCCUAACACAUGCAAGUCGAGCGGAUGAAGGGAGCUUGCUCCUGGAUUCAGCGGCGGACGGGUGAGUAAUGCCUAGGAAUCUGCCUGGUAUUGGGGGAUAACGUCCGGAAACGGGCGCUAAUACCGCAUACGUCCUGAUGGAGAAAGUGGGGGAUCUUCGGACCUCACGCGAUCAGAUGAGCCUAGGUCGGAUUAGCUAGUUGGUGGGGUAAAGGCCUACCAAGGCGACGAUCCGUAACUGGUCUGAGAGGAUGAUCAGUCACACUGGAACUGAGACACGGUCCAGACUCCUACGGGAGGCAGCAGUGGGGAAUAUUGGACAAUGGGCGAAAGCCUGAUCCAGCCAUGCCGCGUGUGUGAAGAAGGUCUUCGGAUUGUAAAGCACUUUAAGUUGGGAGGAAGGGCAGUAAGUUAAUACCUUGCUGUUGUGACGUUACCAACAGAAUAAGCACCGGCUAACUUCGUG